rnacentral:lncRNA from 1 species
AAAGGAAGAAAAGAAGAAGAACAAAAACCUAGCUAAGAAAAUCAAGAGAAAUUUACAAAAUUUCAAAGAAUCAAAUGACAAAAGGUAAGAUUUUUCAAUUCUAGCUUGUGAUUUACCUUUCCUAUGCAUUCUUUUUCAUUUUUCAUGGUUGAGAAUCAAGUUUGCAUGAGGAUACCCUUGCUGGUCGGACAUGGGGCGAGGAGUUUUGAACUUGGAUUUGGUUAGAGUUCAAUAUAUUCUAGUGUUUUUAGUUAGUUAGUUAUGUGUAGCAUGAAAAACAAACAAGAAAAAAUCAUUUUCUCCCAUCACCCAUCAUUGGUCGAAUUUUCCAUGUAGAGUGUGGAUGGUGGAUUUGAUUUUAUUUCAAGUGAAUUGGUUAGGAAAUGAUGAAUUACGGUGAGAAAAUCAAGUAGGAAAAAUCAUAGUGUUGAUGCACCCACCAUGGCUGAAAUUCCCAAGAGAAAAUGUAAAGAUGAUUUUACUAAAUUUUAUGAUAUUUGACUUGUGUUUGAUGGUUUGGAGAAUUGGAAGAAAAAUGGAGUCAAUUGGAGUUGAAUUAGGCAUAUUGGCCAAUUAAUCAAGUGAUAGAUCGAAUUAGGCCAAUACCGUUUUACUUAAGUACACAAUUGAAUUUGUGUAGAACACCGUGUUUAGACGAUAAUCCGAACAAUUUGCAUUCCAUUUCAUGCAUCCAUAUAGUUUUAUAAAGGUUUAGCACCAAUGUGGUAAAUUGCUUGAUUGUGCAUUAUGUCUAGAUGGUGAAUCCUCCGGUAAGGGCAAAGAAAUUGUACCCGAGGAUCGAUAGUCGGAAUACUUUAAAAAUUUGACUCCCGAAAUAGUGAGUAACCUUAUCAUCAUUUUAAUUAUCUAAAGUGGUCUUUUUAUUCGAUUUUGUGAAUGUUAUGGAAAAUGAGUUUAAAUGGUUAAUUUUUAGGUUUUAUAACCAAAAUGUAUUUAAAUGAAAUGAUUUUAUAAAUUGUCUUGAAAUUGAAUGAUGGCUUUGAAAAUAGAGUAAUUGGAGACCAUUUGAUGUAUUGUGAAUUUAUGGUUCUAAUUGAUUGGCUUAUGGCAAUAUUGGCAUGAAUGGCUGAAUUGGUAUUUGUGUUGAAAAUAUAUAAACUGUCGUUUGCCUUGAUAGGUUGUAUAAUGAUAAAAUUACCAUGUCAUGCUGUUGAAUAUUUAUUGUAUGGUGGGUUUAGCUUGCUGCAGUGGGCGGGUUCUGUGGAUCAGCCUAUUAGAGGGGCACAAAAUCCGGUUAUAUACAUACCUCGGUCGGAGAGGCGCAUAGGGUAUCUCCUGAGGUAUGGUUAGAGUUCACAUCACGCCGAACCACCUCGUGAUGAUGAACUCUGCUAACGCCAAGGAACGGCUGUGUUUUUCAAACUAAAAAUAUGUUUACGUGUAUACAAAAUUUGUAACAGCCUUGGCGGACUCGGUUAGAUACCUCAGCCAAGGUAUUCCCGAGAAUGAUUUUGGCAGGAGCCAAGCUUUUAAGAUACUCAUAAGCCAUGUUGAUUAUUUAAAUGAAAUGAAUAUUUAUGUUAUAAAUUACAUAUUGAGAUGGAAUAUUUUAAUCGUCUCCAUUUACUCGACUUUAGCUAUUUUGGAUGAUGUUUGUUUACUCACUGGGAUUAUAUAAUCUCACCACCCUCCUUUCCACCCAUUUCAGGCUCAAAAUAGGCUGUAGAUAGCUGAUAUCGUCGAAGGCUACAGUUGGCUUUACUUCCUCAAAAAUCGUAGGUUCACAGCCUUCGUUCACUUUUGUCAUUUGGGGGCCCACGUGUCAUUGUAAAUUAAAUUAAAUAUCUUGACUAUUUGUAUUACAGUAUGUAUGAAUUUAUUUCGCUUUUACGCUAAAAAAAUUUCUUACAGAUAACUCUAUAAAAAUUAUUUUAUAAGAAAAUAGAAUAUUUUAUUGAAUAUUUUUAUUAUAUUCAAAUAGUCAUAAUUUCAUUUUAAAUGAUGGUUUUAGACAUUUAAACUUAUUUUGAUUAUGAAUUAUGUGUUUUGUACUUGCAUACUACAUUUUUAGUUAGUUUCGAAAUUUUUAGGGAAAAGUGACCAAAAUGCCUCUGUGAGACAGAAAUCAUUUUUUUUUAUUGUUUUAAGUUAGAAAUAGCUUAAAAUCUUUUAAAACAUGAUAUUUGGCAAUGGUUACUCACAGGGGAAAUGAGAAAUUGAUAUUAAAGCCUUGCGGGGUUUCGAUUGGCAUUUCAGGUAAUGGGUGUCUAUCGGGACAUCGCGACGAUUGUCACGGGCUAGAGGGGAGUACAGGAUCGUGACAAUUAUAUUGGUAUCAGAGCUUUUGGUUUUAAAGUUGUUUUAAAAAUUUACAGUUUCAGUGUGGCCUCGGGUUAAGUUGGGUUAGGUUGAAUAGAAUGCAUGCAUCUGCAUAUAGAGCCUAAGGUUGGUUAAACUUGCUUGUUUCCUCUUAUAGAUUAUCAUGCCUCCUCAACGCGAACACCCACCUCUCACUAGAUCGGUUAGGACGGGAAGAAAUUGUUCCCAACGUUGUCAGCUAGAUGUAUUAGAGGGGGAAUCGACUGCGUCUACCAUUCAGGCAACACCUACUGCUGAACAGGCCGAGACUUCUCCACAUCCUCCACAUUCUUCACAUCCUCCGCCACCUACUAAUAUUCCUGCCAUGUCUCCUGAGGUAGUCCAGGCAUUGGUAGCUUUACCGCUAUUACUGGCUAGGCUCAAGCUGGUCAGGCUCCUCCUAUAAUACCACCAGUUGCUCCUUCAGUACCACCACCCCCACCUCUAGUUCCACCGCUAGUAUAGGAUGUAUCUAUUUUUAAGAAGCUGAAGGAGGCUAGACAACUGAGUUGUGUUUCUUUUACGAGUGAGUUGGACGCAACCGUAGCCAAAGAUUGGAUUAAUCAGGUUUCAGAGACACUCUCUGAUAUGAGGUUGGAUGAUGAUUUGAAGUUGGUGGUGGCCACGAGAUUGCUAGAGAAGAGAGCCCAUACAUGGUGGAAUUUAGUAAAAUCCUGUUUCACUACUCCUCCGACCUAGCCAGACUUUCUAAGAGAAUUUGAUAGUCAGUAUUUUACUUAUUUUCAUCAGAAAGAAAAGAAGAGAGAAUUUGUGAGUUUGAAAUAGGGAAAUUUAACUGUAGAGGAGUACGAAGCUCAUUUUAACGAGCUGAUGUUAUAUGUGUUGGAUCUGGUGAAAUCUGAGCAAGAUCAGGCCAAUUAUUUUGAGGAAGGGCUCUAUAAUGAGAUUAGAGAGCAGAUGACAGUGACUGGUAGGGAGCCACAUAAGGAGGUGGUACAGAUGGUUUUAAGGGUCGAGAAGCUUGCAAAUGAAAAUAAGAGAAUGCGAGCUAAGUUUGCAAAAAGAAGAAAUACGAGUGUAUCUUCUAGUUAGCCACCAAAAAUGUGCAAAGAUUCAUUUGCUUCAAGGAGUACUACCUCUGUUUCAGUGACAUCUCCUCGACCUCCAUUUUCACAGACACAGCAAAGGCCUCCGAGAUUUAUCAAAUCUACGAUGACUACUUCUAGGAAGGGUUCUGAAGGUUUUGAUAGAUGCAGGAAUUAUGGGAAGAAUCAUUUUGGGCCGUGUAGGGGACCAGUAGAUGUUUUCAUUGUGGUCAGCUAGGUCACAUUAGGAGUGAUUGCCCACAGCUAGGACGGGCUACUACAACUACUCCAUCUCCACCAGCUCGUAUGGAUAUGCAGAUGAGAGAUCCUUCUAGUUUACCACCGAGGUAGGGAGUAGCUAUACAGUCUGGUGUAGAAAGUAACACCUUGGCAUAUCCACCUUCGAGACCAUAGACUCAUACUUCGACAAGAGUUUUCGCUGUGAUGGACGAUGAGGCACGGGUCUGACUUAGAGCAGUGAUAGGUACUAUAUCUUUAUUUGAUAAAGAUGCUUAUGUUUUGAUAGAUUCUGGCUCAGAUAAGUCUUAUGUGAGUAUGGCAUUUGCAUCAAUUACUGAUAAAAACUUGUCACCAUUAGAGGAAGAAAUUGUAGUUCACACCCCUUUAGGAGAAAAGCUAGUUAGAAACAGUUGUUAUAGAGAUUGUGGAGUAAUGGUUGGUGAGGAAGAAUUUAAGGGUGACUUGAUUCCUUUAGAGAUCCAAGAUUUCAAUUUGAUAUUGGGUAUGGAUUGGUUAGCUGCACAUCGGGCGAAUGUGGAUUAUUUCAGGAAAGAAGUUGUUCUUCAGAAUUCGGAGGGAGCAGAGAUUGUAUUUGUAAGGGAACGUCGAGUAUUAUCGUCUUGUGUAAUCUCGGCCAUCAAAGCUUUGAAACUGGUGCAGAAAGGGUAUCCGACAUAUUUAGCACACGUGAUCGAUACUUCAAAAAGGGAACCUAAAUUAGAGGAUGUCCCAAUAGUAAGUGAGUUUCCUGAUGUAUUUCCUGAUGAAUUACCGAGACUACCUCCUGAGCGAGAGCUUGAGUUCUCUAUUGAUUUAUUUUCGGGUACCGCACCUAUUUCUAUUCCUCCAUAUCGAAUGGUUCCGACAGAGUUAAAGGAACUAAAAGUCCAGCUGCAAGAUUUGGUGGAUAAGGAUUUUAUUUACCCUAGCACUUCUCCUUGGGGAGCACCAGUUCUAUUUGUAAAGAAGAAGGAUGCCAUUCUUCGAUUGUGUAUCGAUUACCAUCAGUUGAACCGAGUGACCAUCAAGAAUAAAUACCCUCUACCAUGGAUCAAUGAUCUUUUUGAUCAGUUACAAUGUGCUAUGGUGUUUUCUAAGAUUGAUUUGAGGUCUAGGUAUUAUCAGUUGAAGAUUAAAGAGUAGGAUGUACCCAAGACUGCUUUUAGAACACAUUAUGGGCAUUAUGAGUUUCUGGUGAUGCCAUUUGGUUUGACUAAUGCCUUGGUAACUUUUAUGGAUCUUAUGAAUAGGGUGUUCCAUCCAUACUUAGAUAAGUUCGUGAUAGUAUUCAUAGAUGACAUCCUGGUUUAUUUGAAGAAUGAUGAUGAACAUGCUGCCCAUUUGCGUAUUGUGUUGCAAACCUUGCGUGAAAAACAACUUUAUGCCAAGUUCUCUAAAUGUGAGUUCUGGUUAAAAAAAGUGGUUUUCUUGGGACAUGUGCUGUUCGGAGCUGAAAUUUAUGUCGAUCCCAAGAAUAUUGAGGCAAUCUUACAAUGGGAGCAACCAAGAACAGUAACUGAGAUUCGCAAUUUCCUUGGCUUAGCCGGUUAUUAUUAGAGAUUUGUUUAGGGAUUUUCAUUGAUAGCUGCUCUUUUGACUCAUCUGACUCAUAAAGGAGUUAAGUUUGAGUGGGAUGAUGUUUGUGAGAGUCGAUUUCAGGAGCUAAAGAACCGGUUAACCUCCGCUCCCGUUCUAACAUUUCUUGUUGGUGGGAAAGAAUUUUUGGUACAUAGUGAUGCCUCUAAGUUGGGAUUAAGGUGCGUAUUGAUGCAGGAUGAUAAAGUAAUAGCUUAUACUUCCCAGCAGCUGAAGAAGCAUGAGAUGAAUUACCCUACUCAUGACUUGGAGUUAGUAGCAAUAGUCUUCGCAUUGAAGAUUUAAAGGCAUUAUUUAUAUGGUGAGCGUUGCCAAAUUUUUACUGAUCAUAAAAGUUUGAAAUAUUUGCUCACCCAAAAAGAACUUAAUUUGAGACAAAAACGGUGGCUAGAGUUGAUCAAGGAUUACGACUUAGUGAUUGAUCAUCACCCUAGAAAGGCAAAUGUUGUAGCAGAUGCCUUAAAUCGUAAAUCCUCAUCGUCGAUAGCAACGCUUCGGAGUUCUUUAUUUUCGAUGUUACUUGAGAUGAAGUCUCUAGGGGUCUAGUUGAAUAAUGGUGAGGAUGGAACCCUACUUGCUAAUUUCGUUGUGAGACCUUCAUUGUUGAAUCAGAUCAGGGAAUUACAGAAAUUCAAUGAUUGGUUGAAACAUGAAGUUCAAAAGCUACAAGAUGGAGAAACUAGUGAGUUUAGACUCAGUGAUGAUGGUACUUUGAUUCUUGAAGACUGGAUUUAUGUUCCUAAGGAUGAUCAGUUGAGACGAGUUAUUUUAAAGGAAGCUCAUUCUUCCGCUUACGCUUUACAUCCCGGAAGCACCAAGAUGUAUCGGACUAUUAAAGAAAGUUAUUGGUGGCCGGAUAUGAAACGAGACAUAGCAGAGUUUGUAGCAAAAUGUCUCACAUGCCAACAGAUCAAGGCGGAGUGUCAAAAACCAUCAAGUACUCUACAGCCUUUACCGAUUCCUGAAUGGAAGUGGGAACACGUGGCUAUGGACUUUGUAUUGGGUUUGCCGCAGACACAGAGUGGGAAGGAUGCUAUUUGGGUGAUUAUGGAUAGAUUGACUAAGUCUACCCAUUUCUUGGCUAUCCAUAGCACGUAUUCUAUUGAGAAAUUGGCAAAACUUUAUAUAGAUGAGAUUGUGAGAUUACACGAAGUUCCAGUUUCUAUUGUGUUAGAUCGAGACCCUCGAUUUACUUCUCGAUUUUGGUCAAAAUUUCAAGAAACUCUUAGAACUAAUUUGAGAUUUAGCACUGCCUUUCAUCCGCAGACAAAUUGUGAGACCUUGACCUUUAUAGACUCGUAAAGGGAAAUAUACGCGAUAUCCCUGAUCGGGGGUAAUUUUGUCAUUUCUUUAGUAAAUCCAUAAAAGUAAGGUUUUUAAACAAUAUUAUGGUCUAAGUAGGCCUAAGGCAUAAAUGGAUUGUGAAAUUAGGGGUAAAAUGGAAAGGAAACCAAAAUUUCGAUGAUUUUCACGAUAAGGGUAAAAUGGUCAUUUUUCACCUCGAGUUAAAAUUUUAAGUUUUUAUGAACCCGAACAUGUCUAGACCAUUAUGGAUCUUGUCCCAGUGUUAAAAGAGCAAAAAGAUUGCAUAAAAGAUUGGAGGAGAAUAAGUUAAUUGGUGGAAGGGCAUUUUCGUAAUUUUAUGGGAAUGGAUAAGUUGGCCUAUAAAUAUCUUGAAAUUUCCAACACCUUCUUGAAUUUCUAGCAGCUGGUCUUCUUCUUCCCUUCUUCCCUCUCAUGUUUCUUCAAUUCCUCCAUGGGAGUUUUCUUCAAGCUUCCAUAACUUUCUCUCUUUAGCUUCAAUUUUCAUGCUUUUGGUGCACCUUUCCAUAAACCCUUAUGCUAUUUCAUCCUUUCACUUUAAAACCCUUGAUAAAUCUCAUUUCUGUACUUUUUCUCACUAGUUGGACGUUCUAGAGAGAGAAAGAGAGAAUUACCCCAUUGAUUUGGAAACAAUUGGAAGAGAAUUUGACUACAAAGGAGCCAUAGGGUAAGUGAUGAAUUAAGCUUGGUUUUUAGCUGCAGAAAAUGGCUAGUAAUUGGGAUUUAUGAGCUGUUUAUUGUUGAGUAUGUUCAUUACUUUUAGUGAUUAAGAUAGUGAACAUAGAUGGCCAUUUAAUGUGGCAAUUGAAAGCUAGUUAAGAGAUAGCUUUUAGGGUUCAUAGUGUGUAAAUUGACCUAUUGCUUAUGCUAAUGUGAUCCUAGGUUCUAAGGAAGCCUCACCAUCUCAUUUGGACAAUUAGGAGAAUUGGAGUCAUCUAAAGGCUCUACAAUCAAUUGGUGAGUGGACUGCCUUCAAAAUUUGUUUUGGGAAAUAUAAUGUAUUUGCCACCCAUUUGAAUGAAUUAUCAAGUUUUUCAUAAAGACAAGUGCCUUAGGAACAAGCUUUUGCAAAAUGGUUUUAUAUUGUGAUAUGUGAUUGCUAUGGAUUCAUGCACUAUUGUAGUAUGAUGAUAUAUAAAUAUGUGUGUUAUGCAUGAUGAAUGAUAUUGUGUAUAAUGACUGUAACCGUGUGUGUGCAUGAUGUGGGGGGAUGCACAUGUUGGUGAUAAUGGUGGCGUGAGAGAUGGAUGAUGAUAGUGCCCGUGUGCACGAUGUGGGGGGAUGUACACGAUGGCACUGAUUGUGCACGAUAUGGAGGGAUGCACACGAUGGUGUCGGCUAUGUGCACGAUGUGGGGGGAUGUACAUGAGUCGAUGUGAUUUUGAUGAUGUUGAUGUUUAUCUAUGUAAUUAUGCACAUCUAGACUUAUGAAAUGAAAACUUAUGAAUGUGAUAUAUGAUUGAUAUAUAUGAGAAAUUUGAUACAUUGCACUUUGGAAAUUUUCAUGUGUUGUAUGUUUAUUUUGUUGGUUUAGCAAGAUGGCCUUUUUGUUGAGUGAAGAGAAACUUUUCUUUUGUUGCUCUGUUUUCGCUGCAGCGAAAUUCAUUCUUGCUGCAGCGAGAUAGUCACCUAGCUUCUCGCUGUAGUGAAAAGGAAUCUCGCUGUAGCAAAAAACUCUCUGUUUCAUCAGUGAAAUUUCGUCGCAGUGAGAAACCUUCUGUUUCUGAGUUACAAUUUUGCUGCAGCGAAAUUCAAUCUCACUGCAGCGAAAAACCUUCUGUUUUGGUCUCCUAUCUUGUCCAAUUGCUGCCCUAACUUUCACUUCUUUACUACCAUAUCAGAGCAUGGACUUCCUACAUUAAGGAUUAAAUGAGUUAAGUUUAAAGGGAUGAGGUUUAGUGAGAAAUCCUGGGCUAGUUGAAAAACCCUAGGUCGGCUAAUAACCAAAUCCCAACGUCACUGCAACGAAAAUUCAUUCUCGCUGCAGCAUAUUUGUUGUCAUAUUUGACUUGUUUACGUAUCAUUGAAGCUUUCAUUCUUCAAAUGGUUCGUUGUGUAUGGAUUCAUGAUUUUCAAAUGAUCAAUCAUUUAAGGGCUUGAUGAGGGGUUUUUAAUAAGAAUAGAAACAAAUUUCAUUGUUUUGAAAAAGAAUGCAUCAUGAUUUUGUUAAACAUUCCUUAUGGUAUGCUUGUUCCCUUCCUUGUUCACUCACUAGGUUUAUACUCACCAUUUUCAAUUUCAUAUUUUCAUAUCACGAAGCAGCAAGUAACUAGGACGAGGUGUCAUUGUAGACUUAUAUCCAUCUUUUGGUAGGUGUCUCGGCAUUCAGUAGCUGUACAUUCAUCCGAGUCUCUACACUGGAAAUUGAGUCUUCUUUUUGAGAUGUAUAAACAAACUUGAUGUAAAUUAUUAAGAUAUAUGUUGUAGACAAUGUAUGUAUAUUUUAAAUGAGUAAUGCCAAUACGAGUUGAAAAUAUCUAUCACUAUUUUGGUUUAAAGUUAUAAUUUGUGACUUAGCAAUAUUUGAUGGAAUGAUGAGUAGGAUAAAAAUGAUAGGCUUGCUUGGGCUUAGUGGACUAUGUCCAUUGGGCCUAUACGCCUGUCAUGGCCCGAAAUUUGGGUCAUGACAUAAAUGGUCAAUCUGAAAGGACUAUUCAGACCUUGGAGGAUAUGUUACGGGCUUGUGUCAUUGACUUUAUUGGGAGUUGGGAUAGACACUUGCCAUUGGUGGAGUUUGCGUAUAAUAACAGUUUUCAGUCUAGUAUUGGGAUGGUACCAUACGAGGCUCUAUAUGGAAGGAAGAGCCGAACUCCGUUUGUUGGGAUGAAGUGGGUGAGAGAAAAUUGUUUAAUGUGGAAUUGAUUGAUCUGACAAAUGACAAGAUCAAGGUUAUCUGAGAAUGAUUAAAGACAGCUAAAGAUAGGCAGAAGAGUUACUUUGAUAGACGGAGGAAAAAUUUGGAGUUUGAAGUCGACGAUAAAGUUUUUCUUAAGGUUUCUCCUUGGAAAGGUAAUAAUUUGAAAAUUCUAAGUAUUAAAUCUUAUUUGAUUAUACUAUUAUGAUAAAUUGUGGUAUUUUAUUGGUUAAUAAAAAGUGUGAUUCGAUUCGCGAAGCGGGGAAAGCUCAACCCGAGAUACAUUGGACCCUUUCGUAUCAUUGAAAAGAUCAGACCAGUGGCUUACAGACUUGAAUUACCCCUGGAGUUAGAUCAGAUUCACAAUGUUUUCCAUGUCUCGAUGUUGAAAAAGUAUGUUCCCGAUCCCUCCCACAUUCUAGAGACACCACCAAUCGAGUUGCAUGAAGAUUUGAAGUUUGAGGUGCAGCUUGUACGCAUUCUAGAUCGAAAGGAUUGAGUGUUGAGGAAUAAAAGCAUUCCAACGGUGAAAGUGUUGUGGAAAAAUGCUCAAAUGGAGGAGAUGACAUGGGAAGUCGAGCACCAGAUGAGAAACCAAUAUCCAUAUCUUUUCUUUGAAUCCGGUAAGUGAAAUUUUGAGGUCAAAAUUUUAUUUUAAGGGGGGUAGUGCUAUCAAACCCGACUUUAUAAAAUAUUAGCCAUGUCAUUCAUGUGAUUGACAGAAUGCUUGCAUACUUAGAAAGCCCCGAAAAAUCGUCAAAAGUCGAUAGUAUACCCAGUGGUGCAACUAAGUUGAAUUAAGCCUCGAACUAGUCCAAAUAGAGAUAAUAAGAUGAAAUUGAGAAUUUUAAAAUCCCAUAAUGACUUAAAAUGGUGAUUCGGAGUUCGAGGACCGAUUUGGAGUCAAAUUGGAAUUUUCAUGACCCAAGGGCAAAAUGGUCAUUUUGCCACCCGAGGUUAAAAUUGGAAUGUUGGAAGAAGUUUUUGAUCAAUAUUGACUAUUUAGAACAUAAUUAGAGUUUGAGAACUGAAAAAUUUUAAUUUCGGCAUUUUUUUUAGCAUAAAGACAAAAUAGUCAUUUGCCACCCUAGGGGCAAAAUUGUAAUUUUACACCACCCAACACUUGUCCAGCACAUGGAUUUUACCCAUUAUUAUCAUGGAUAAUUGAAGGAUUUUAAAUGGUGGAGAGAGAUUGCUUAAUGGGUAAGUAUGACACAUGGGCCAAUGGAAUGGUGACAUGUGUCAAAUUUUCAUCCAUUUAUAUUUGACUUAAAAAAUCAGCACAUAAACUCUCCCAACUCAUUUUUCUUGGCCGACCAAAGGAAGAAAAGGGAAGAAAAGAAGAAGAACAAAAACCUAGCUAAGAAAUUCAAGAGAAAUUCACAAAAUUUCAAAGAAUCAAGUGACAAAAGGUAAGAUUUUUCAAUUCUAGCUUGUGAUUUACCAUUCCUAUGCAUUCUUUUUCAUUUUCCAUGAUUGAGAAUCAAGUUUGCAUGAGGAUACCCUUGCUGGCCGGACAUGGGGGGAGGAGUUUUGAACUUGGAUUUGGUUAUAUUUCAAUGUAUUCUAGUGUUUUCAGUUAGUUAGUGAUGUGUAGCAUGAAAAACAAAUAAGAAAAAUUCAUUUUCUCCCAUCACCCAUCAUUGGCCGAAUUUUUCAUGUAGAGUGUGGAUGGUGGAUUUGAUUUUAUUUCAAGUGAAUUGGUUAGGAAAUGAUGAAUUACGGUGAGAAAAUCAAGUAGGAAAAAUCAUAGUGUUGAUGCACCCACCAUGGCCAAAUUUCCCAAGAGAAAAUGUGAAGAUGAUUUUGCUAAAUUUUAUGUUAUUUGACUUGUGUUUGAUGGUUUGGAGAAUUGGAAGAAAAAUGGAGUUAAUUGGAGUUGAAUUGGGCAUAUUGGCCAAUUAAUCGAGUGAUAGAUCGAAUUAGGCCAAUAUCGUUUUAUUUAGGUACACAAUUGAAUUUGUGUAGAACACCGUGUUUAGACGACAAUCCAAACAAUUUGCAUUCCAUUUCAUGCAUCCAUAUAGUUUUAUAACAGUUUAGCACCAAUGUGGUAAAUUGCUUGAUUGUGCAUUAUGUCUAGGUGGUGAAUCCUACGAUAAGGGCAAAGAAAUUGUACCCGAGGAUCGAUAGUCGGAGUACUCUAAAAAUUCGACUCCCAAAAUAGUGAGUAACCUUAUCAUCAUUUUAAUUAUCUAAAGUGGUCUUUUUAUUCAAUUUUGUGAAUGUUAUGGAAAAUGAGUUUAAAUGGUUAAUUUUUAGGUUUUAUAAACAAAAUGUAUUUAAAUGAAAUGAUUUUAUAAAUUGUCUUGAAAUUGAAUGAUGGCUUUGAAAAUAAAGUAAUUGGAGACCAUUUGAUGUAUUGUGAAUUUAUGGUUCUAAUUGAUUGGCUUAUGGCAAUAUUGGCAUGAAUAGCUGAAUUGGUAUUUGUGUUGAAAAUGUAUAAACUGUUGUUUGCCUUGAUAGGUUGGAUAAUGAUAAAAUUGCCAUGUCAUGCUGUUGAAUAUUUAUUGUAUGGUGGGUUUAGCUUGCUAUAGUGGGCGGGUUCUGCGAACCAUCCUAUUAGAGGGGCACGGAAUCCGGUUAUAUACGUACCUCAGUCGGAGAGGUGCGUAGGGUAUCUUUUGAGGUAUGGUUAGAGUUCACGUCACGCCGAACCACCUCGUGAUGAUGAACUCCGCUAACGCCAAGGAACGGCUGUGUUUUUUAAACUAAAAAUAUGUUU